rnacentral:rRNA from 1 species
UACGUAGGGAGCGAGCGUUGUCCGGAUUUACUGGGUGUAAAGGGUGCGUAGGCGGCUAGACAAGUCAGGUGUGGAAUACCGCAGCUCAACUGCGGGGCUGCACUUGAAACUGUAGAGCUUGAGUGAUGGAGAGGUAAGCGGAAUUCCUAGUGUAGCGGUAAAAUGCGUAGAUAUUAGGAGGAACACCAGUGGCGAAGGCGGCUUACUGGACAUUAACUGACGCUGAGGCACGAAAGCGUGGGGAGCAAACA